AGCAGUCGCCGCGGGAAUACGGAGGGUGCAAGCGUUACUCGGAAUCACUGGGCGUAAAGGACGCGUAGGCGGAUUAUCAAGUCUCUUGUGAAAUCUAACGGCUUAACCGUUAAACUGCUUGGGAAACUGAUAAUCUAGAGUAAGGGAGAGGCAGAUGGAAUUCUUGGUGUAGGGGUAAAAUCCGUAGAUAUCAAGAAGAAUACCUAUUGCGAAGGCGAUCUGCUGGAACUUAACUGACGCUAAUGCGUGAAAGCGUGGGGAGCAAACAGGAUUAGAUACCCGCGUAGUCCCUGUCUCUUAUAC
rnacentral:rRNA from 1 species